rnacentral:rRNA from 1 species
UACAGGGGGGUGCAAACGUUGCUCGGAAUCAUUGGGCGUAAAGCGCACGUAGGCGGUUCGUUAUGUCGGAUGUGAAAGCCCUUGGCUUAACCGAGGAAGUGCAUCCGAAACUGGCGAGCUAGAGUACGAAAGAGGAUCGCGGAAUUCCCGGUGUAGAGGUGAAAUGCGUAGAUAUAGGAAGGAACACCAGUGGCGAAGGCGACCACCUGGACUGAUACUGACACUGAGGUGCGAAAGCGUGGGGAGCAAACAGG